rnacentral:rRNA from 1 species
CACGUAGGGGGCAAGCGUUGUCCGGAUUUAUUGGGCGUAAAGAGCUCGUAGGCGGUUCGCUAAGUCGGGUGUGAAACCUCCAGGCUCAACCUGGAGACGCCACCUGAUACUGGUGUGACUCGAGUCCGGUAGGGGAGCGUGGAAUUCCUGGUGUAGCGGUGAAAUGCGCAGUUAUCAGGAGGAACACCAGCGGCGAAGGCGGCGCUCUGGGCCGGAACUGACGCUGAGGAGCGAAAGCGUGGGUAGCAAACAGG